rnacentral:snoRNA from 1 species
GCGCGAUGAUGAAAACUUGGUUCCUUACAUUCGCAGUUUCCACGGUAGGAGUACGCCAACGAACCCAUCGUAUAGUGCUCCCGGUGACCGCUCUUCUUGAGACCUUCCUAGGAUGUCUGAGUGC